rnacentral:ncRNA from 1 species
CUCUGUAUCGCUUUGAUUCAGGGCAGAAAGAG